rfam:Canis lupus familiaris chromosome 3, whole genome shotgun sequence.
ACCUGGCUGGCUCAGUUAGUAGAGCACAGGACUCUUGAUCUCAGGAUUGUGAGUUUGAGCCCCAUGUUGGGUG